rnacentral:rRNA from 1 species
GGUUUCGAUAUUCUAUUAGCAGCGCUUAUUGCGCGGCGAAAAACCUUACACACAGUGUUUUUUGUUAUUACAAGAACUCUUGCUUUGGUCUGGACUAGAAAUAGUUUGGGCCAGAGGUUUACUAAACUAAACUUCAAUAUUUAUAUUGAAUUGUUAUUUAUUUUAAUUGUCAAUUUGUUGAUUAAAUUCAAAAAAUCUUCAAAACUUUCAACAACGGAUCUCUUGGUUCUCGCAUCGAUGAAGAACGCAGCGAAAUGCGAUAAGUAAUAUGAAUUGCAGAUUUUCGUGAAUCAUCGAAUCUUUGAACGCACAUUGCGCCCUUUGGUAUUCCAAAGGGCAUGCCUGUUUGAGCGUCAUUUCUCUCUCAAACCUUCGGGUUUGGUAUUGAGUGAUACUCUUAGUCGAACUAGGCGUUUGCUUGAAAUGUAUUGGCAUGAGUGGUACUGGAUAGUGCUAUAUGACUUUCAAUGUAUUAGGUUUAUCCAACUCGUUGAAUAGUUUAAUGGUAUAUUUCUCGGUAUUCUAGGCUCGGCCUUACAAUAUAACAAACAAGUUUGACCUCAAAUCAGGUAGGACUACCCGCUGAACUUAAGCAUAUCAAAAGGCGGGAGGAAA